UGCCAGCAGCCGCGGUAAUACGGAGGGUGCGAGCGUUAAUCGGAAUUACUGGGCGUAAAGCGCGCGUAGGUGGUCUGUUAAGUCGGAUGUGAAAGCCCCGGGCUCAACCUGGGAACUGCAUUCGAUACUGGCAGACUAGAGUGCGAGAGAGGGAGGUAGAAUUUCAGGUGUAGCGGUGAAAUGCGUAGAGAUCUGAAGGAAUACCAGUGGCGAAGGCGGCCCCCUGGACUGAUACUGACACUGAUGUGCGAAAGCGUGGGUAGCGAACAGGAUUAGAUA
rnacentral:rRNA from 1 species